rnacentral:rRNA from 1 species
GACGAACCGUGCGAACGUUAUUCGGAAUCACUGGGCUUAAAGCGCGUGUAGGCGGGAGGGCACGUCCGUUGCUGAAAUCCCCCGGCUCAACCGGGGAACGGGCGCGGAUACGACUCUCCUCGAGGGGCGUAGGGGGGACCUGGAACUUCCGGUGGAGCGGUGAAAUGCGUUGAGAUCGGAAGGAACGCCCGUGGCGAAAGCGAGGUCCUGGGACGCCCUACGUGACGCUGAGACGCGAAAGCCAGGGGAGCGAACGGG